GAAAAUGAUGGUGAUCUUGAAGGUGGAUAGUCUUCAGAAUCCUGUAUGUUGAGGAUGGAUUCUCCUAAACAAACACUCCAACCAAUGGGAUGAGGCCUUCGCAAUCAACAAAGCUUUUGUCCUACAAUGGCCCACUUCAUUCUGAUAGUUCUCCUGGAUGGGCAGGGGGAGCCAUUCUUCCCAUCUGAGUUCACAAGUUCAAAGCAGGCAUUUUUAAAAUUAUAAAACAAACUUAUAUUUUACCUUGUAGCAUGGAACACAAACAUUACAAGUAAGAUUAAUGCAUGCAGCAAUUUACACGCCUUUUAUGGAGUCUAAACACAUCCUUACAAGUCUAAUAUCUCUCUUGAACAACAUUAACAGAAGGAAUCCAGCUGCUGUUUGUCUUGCAUCCGGAGGCGGGGAGAGAUGGGUUUGAGUUUUAAGCACAGGACUAGGAAUGAUGAAAUCUGGUUGUAUUUCUGGAUCUGCACAGGCUUCCUGCAUAACUCUGGGCAAGUCACUUCAUCUUGAUGCAAUUCCCAUUAAAGUCCGUGAAAAGACUCCCAUUGACUUCAAAGUGUAAAUCUAGUCUUAAAAGUGAUUGUAUACAAUAAAUGACAUCAUGAG